GAAAUAGAUAAUGAAUUCAAGGAAGUGGAUGAAGAUCUCCUUGAAAUGUAUGUAUAUCAGCCUUUGCUAAUACAUUAAAAAAAUUGUGUACUGCGCCUGAUUUUCAUUGUAAUAUUGCCAGGUUUGCAGAGAGGCUGGUUGAUCUGAAGGUUUGACUUAUUAUCAGGUAGAAGUUCAGAGUAUUGAUACUUGCAGCUGCAUUAGCUUGAAUCCUUCAGAAUUAGUGUCUCUAUAGAGAUACAAGCUGCGCAAGUCUUUCCAUGGUCCGCACGUUUGAGUAAUUUUUCCCUGAACCAAAGCAAGCCUCUAAAUUAGAAUAGAAAGUUGCAUAAGCAACAAACUUCUAAAUUCCUUCUAUCUUUUAUCACAAAUAGUGGGUACUUGUAGAAUACCAUUGCACCCUCAUUUUUUUUUAGAAAAACCGCUCGUGACCCUGCUUAAUUUUAUUGAUAUGUAAGAGUUCAGACUACAAGACUUACAGAGAUGUAUUCUAGGAUUGCCAAUUUUAGUCAUGAAACAUAGCAAAGCAGAAACCAGGAAUGCACAACUCCAUGGUCAACUCAUUUAAAACCACAGAAAAGGAUCCGCCUUACACUACAUCAGUCAUUUUCCUUUAGCCUGCCGACCUAUCCCCCACAAUGGUUGCUAUUGCUAUAAAAAGAUGCACACUAGUAGGGUGAGACUACUCCUUUUGUUUUUGUUCAAAAUUAAAAAUCAACUCAGAAU
rnacentral:lncRNA from 1 species